UGGGGAAUUUUGGACAAUGGGCGAAAGCCUGAUCCAGCAAUGCCGCGUGUGUGAAGAAGGCCUUCGGGUUGUAAAGCACUUUUGUCCGGAAAGAAAUCCUUGGCUCUAAUACAGUCGGGGGAUGACGGUACCGGAAGAAUAAGCACCGGCUAACUACGUGCCAGCAGCCGCGGUAAUACGUAGGGUGCAAGCGUUAAUCGGGAAUUACUGGGCGUAAAGCGUGCGCAGGCGGUUUGCUAAGACCGAUGUGAAAUCCCCGGGCUCAACCUGGGAACUGCAUUGGUGACUGGCAGGCUAGAGUAUGGCAGAGGGGGGUAGAAUUCCACGUGUAGCAGUGAAAUGCGUAGAGAUGUGGAGGAAUACCGAUGGCGAAGGCAGCCCCCUGGGCCAAUACUGACGCUCAUGCACGAAAGCGUGGGGAGCAAAGCAGGAUUAGAUACCCUGGUAGUCCACGCCCUAAACGAUGUCAACUAGUUGUUGGGGAUUCAUUUCCUUAGUAACGUAGCUAACGCGUGAAGUUGACCGCCUGGGGAGUACGAUCGCAGAUUAAACUCAAAUGAAUUGACGGGGUCAUAGCUGUUUCCU
rnacentral:rRNA from 1 species